rnacentral:rRNA from 1 species
UACAGAGGGUGCGAGCGUUAAUCGGAAUUACUGGGCGUAAAGCGUGCGUAGACGGUUAUGUAAGUCGGGUGUGAAAGCCCCGGGCUCAACCUGGGAAUUGCAUUCGAGACUGCAUAGCUAGGGUGCGGAAGAGGGAAGCGGAAUUUCCGGUGUAGCGGUGAAAUGCGUAGAUAUCAGGAGGAACACCUGUGGUGUAGACAGCUUACUGGACCACUUCUGACGCUGAGACACGAAAGCGUGGGUAGCAAACAGG